AUAAUAUUUUAACCUCUUCUGGAAUACCAAGUCUAUAUUUCAAUUUAAUCUAUGAUUUAAUUGCACACCUCCGUAGUUUAUAGGCACAAAUGGCUAGAAGUAGAAUAAAAAUGAUAUUUUUUGUUCUUUUUUAUUAUAAUCCACUUUAACUUGAUUUAUUCACAAUGUUUUAGUGGUUCGCUGAGAACAGAUAUUU